UGCUCAACCUAGGAAAAGGGAAGAUGAAAGGCCUUCCUUUAGCCUUGGGAUAAGUCCACCAGCAUCUCAACCAACUCAGCCUUCCCAAGAGAGUGAUUCACAGCUUGAAAUCCUGGAAGAGGCGGUGGUAGAUGUUGGUGUGGCAGCAGCAUUAAAAUUUGUUGAAGGAACAUCUUCAGAAUUAACCUUAAUAGCAGCUCAAGUUUACAAAACCCUGUAGAAAAAUAAAAAAUCACGAACGAGCUGAUUGAAAAGUGUUAUCAUUGGAUGACACAUGUGAAAUAAGCAAAAGAUGGUACCAAUGAAUAUGAACCAAUAUUUGUCUUGAAACACGAGGGACUCUACGAGGGAUUAAGAGAAUAUUUCAUAUCUCUAAUGCCCGGAGAACAAGUGCAUGCCGUGGUGGUUAGUAUACACAACUUGAUUCUCAAUGAAAUAAAAACUAAGGGUAUCAAGAACAAAUAUACAUUGUGCUGAUGGAUAUUGUGAAUUUUAUCGUGGGAAUAUAUGGCGAGAACUACAUUGAUAAGAGCACAAACAAAGCCCACAUGUUUAAUAUUCAGCAGUAUGACCACUACUGCCAGUUUCUUGACAAAAGAAAACUUGCAUCGCAUCCAUUUAUAUUUGUCCCAAUUUGUAAUGGAGUGCAUUGGUGGUUAUGGAUUACUGAUGUAAACAAAAAGAAAUUCUAUGUCCUUGACCCAAUCAACAAGAAGCCAGAAGAAAUACAUGAUUCGUGAAAGGAAAUAAACAAAUUUGUUAUGAGGGUGUACGCUGGGGGGAAACCCUCAAUGGAGGAUGCACUGGGAGAAGAAGCAGAGUAUAUCCAAUUGAAUGGUCAAUGUACAAAGUAAGAAUAUUUCUUUUUUGUAGUACUAUUUUUAAUGUGUUUUAUUUUAUAUACUGUUGAUUGUAUUAUACUCAAUUCUUGCUUAGCUAUUAUUGUGAAAUAUUCGUGAUUAAAUGGCUCGAAAUAAUAGAUCCACAAAAAAUAAAAAGCGAGAAGAGAUAUAAAUAUAAAGCUUGGACACAAGUAAGUACUUUCUAAAUUAAUAAACUUCUUUCUUUUCUUAUUUCAUUCAGUUAAUUUGAUAUUGUAACUAGAGCUUUGAAGUUGGUUGUUACUCUGUUUAAUAGUUGUUUUGCAUGCAGAAAAUACUAUUUUUGUUGAUUGAAAAUUGAUCACCAUUUAUUCACCACAUAAACAAUUUUCGGUUCGGUGGCUCUUAUAAUUUUGAUUCACCGAGUGAAUGUUUUUCGGUUUGGUGGCUCUUAUAAUUUUGAUUCACCAAGUGAAUAUUUUUCGGUUCGGUGGCCUCCUUUUAAUUUGUUUAGGUUUAGGGUUACUGUGAUUCCAUUUUUACAGUAUAACUAGGGCUUUGAAUUAAAUUUGUUGUUAUUUAAUGUGAUUUUGAUUUACUUGAUAUUUAAUGUGUUCAGGAUGUAGGGUUAUUGUGAUUGCAUUUUUACAGUAUGAUUAGGAAUUUGAAUGAUAUUGUUCUUAUUUCAUUUGGGUUCAUUUCUUAUGUAACUAAUUCAUUUCAAUUGAAAUGGAGAAAGAAAUUGAUGACUCCAGAUACCAAUAUGGUCCAUAUUUUCUGUUUCAUGAAAUGAACAAAAUUAGAGACCAAGUGAUUUCAGAAUCUGAAGCAAUAAGACUCACCAAACCGUCUGCUUUCCUCUCCAGCCCUUAUUGUAAAUACACAUCUGGGGAUUUAGAUAGCAAAUAGCAUAUACUAGUUGUAAUUAACAAUAUUUUGUUUAACUUGUUUAAAGAGCAAA